GAUGAACGCUAGCUACAGGCUUAACACAUGCAAGUCGAGGGCAGCAUGGUCUUAGCUUGCUAAGGCCGAUGGCGACCGGCGCACGGGUGAGUAACACGUAUCCAACCUGCCGUCUACUCUUGGACAGCCUUCUGAAAGGAAGAUUAAUACAAGAUGGCAUCAUGAGUCCGCAUGUUCACAUGAUUAAAGGUAUUCCGGUAGACGAUGGGGAUGCGUUCCAUUAGAUAGUAGGCGGGGUAACGGCCCACCUAGUCUUCGAUGGAUAGGGGUUCUGAGAGGAAGGUCCCCCACAUUGGAACUGAGACACGGUCCAAAACUCCUACGGGAGGCAGCAGUGAGGAAUAUUGGUCAAUGGGCGAGAGCCUGAACCAGCCCAAGUAGCGUGAAGGAUGACUGCCCUAUGGGGUUGUAAACUUCUUUUUAUAAAGGAAUAAAGUCGGGUAUGGA
rnacentral:rRNA from 1 species